CGCGGCCUAUCAGCUUGUUGGUGGGGUAGUGGCUUACCAAGGCUUUGACGGGUAGCCGGCCUGAGAGGGUGACCGGCCACAUUGGGACUGAGAUACGGCCCAGACUCCUACGGGGGGCAGCAGUGGGGAAUAUUGCACAAUGGGCGGAAGCCUGAUGCAGCAACGCCGCGUGCGGGAUGACGGCCUUCGGGUUGUAAACCGCUUUCGCCUGUGACGAAGCGUGAGUGACGGUAAUGGGUAAAGAAGCACCGGCUAACUACGUGCCAGCAGCCGCGGUGAUACGUAGGGUGCGAGCGUUGUCCGGAUUUAUUGGGCGUAAAGGGCUCGUAGGUGGUUGAUCGCGUCGGAAGUGUAAUCUUGGGGCUUAACCCUGAGCGUGCUUUCGAUACGGGUUGACUUGAGGAAGGUAGGGGAGAAUGGAAUUCCUGGUGGAGCGGUGGAAUGCGCAGAUAUCAGGAGGAACACCAGUGGCGAAGGCGGUUCUCUGGCCCUUUCCUGACGCUGAGGAGCGAAAGCGUGGGGAGCGAACAGGCUUAGAUACCCUGGUAGUCCACGCUGUAAACGGUGGGUACUAGGUGUGGGGUCCAUUCCACGGGUUCCGUGCCGUAGCUAACGCUUUAAGUACCCCGCCUGGGGAGUACGG
rnacentral:rRNA from 1 species